rfam:Salmo salar isolate Sally breed double haploid chromosome ssa10, whole genome shotgun sequence.
UGCACUCGCUGUUGUUAGUCACUUUGGAUAAAAGCGUCUGCUAAAUGGCAUAUA